UACAGGGGGUGCAAACGUUGCUCGGAAUCAUUGGGCGUAAAGCGCACGUAGGCGGUCUGUUAUGUCGGAUGUGAAAGCCCUCGGCUCAACCGGGGAACUGCAUGGGAAACUGCGUGGCUUGAGUCCGGGAGAGGUGAGUGGAAUUCCCAGUGUAGCGGUGAAAUGCGUAGAUAUUGGGAGGAACACCGGUGGCGAAGGCGGCUCACUGGACCGGUACUGACGCUGAGACGCGAAAGCCAGGGGAGCAAACGGG
rnacentral:rRNA from 1 species